UACGUAGGGGGCUAGCGUUGUCCGGAAUCAUUGGGCGUAAAGAGCGUGUAGGCGGUUUGGUAGGUCCGUUGUGAAAACUCGAGGCUCAACCUCGAGACGCCGGCGGAAACCAUCAGGCUAGAGUCCGGAAGAGGAGAGUGGAAUUCCUGGUGUAGCGGUGAAAUUCGUAGAUAUCAAGAGGAACACCAGUGGCGAAGGCGAGUCCCUGGACGAUACCUGACACUGAGGCACGAAAGCCAAGGGAGCAAACAGG
rnacentral:rRNA from 1 species